rnacentral:rRNA from 1 species
AACGAACGCUGGCGGCAUGCCUAACACAUGCAAGUCGAACGAUCCCUUCGGGGAUAGUGGCGCACGGGUGCGUAACGCGUGGGAACCCGCCCUUAGGUUCGGAAUAACUCAGAGAAAUUUGAGCUAAUACCGGAUAAUGUCUUCGGACCAAAGAUUUAUCGCCUUUGGAUGGGCCCGCGUUGGAUUAGCUAGUUGGUGGGGUAAAGGCCUACCAAGGCGACGAUCCAUAGCUGGUCUGAGAGGAUGAUCAGCCACACUGGGACUGAGACACGGCCCAGACUCCUACGGGAGGCAGCAGUGGGGAAUAUUGGACAAUGGGCGAAAGCCUGAUCCAGCAAUGCCGCGUGAGUGAUGAAGGCCUUAGGGUUGUAAAGCUCUUUUACCCGGGAUGAUAAUGACAGUACCGGGAGAAUAAGCCCCGGCUAACUCCGUG